rnacentral:pre_miRNA from 1 species
UGGACAGAUUAUUGUAUUCACGGCGUGAAACAAGGGAUUACACUGUUUUUAAACGGAAAGUAAAUCAAUUAACAUAAUAGACUCCU